CGCCUCUUGUUCUCAUAAGAGGUCCAGCCUGCCCAGUGAUUUAUUCAACGGCCGCGGUAUCCUAACCGUGCGAAGGUAGCGUAAUCACUUGUCUUCUAAAUAAAGACCAGUAUGAAAGGCAUCACGAAGACUAAGCUGUCUCCUCUCUCCAAUCAGUGAACCUAAUCUCCCCGUGAAGAAGCCGGGAUCCAACUAUAAGACGAGAAGACCCUAUGGAGCUUUAAACACCGUAACACUGCCACCACCCCCACUCACUCCGGUGCAUCAGCUAAACGGCACUCUGAUUACAUGUUUUUGAUUGGGGUGAUCGCGGAGAAAAACUUAUCCUCCGCAAUGAAAGGGACCUCCCCCUAAACAACAAGUUACAACUUUAUGCAUCAAAAAAUUGACAUUUAUUGACCCAAUAAUUGAUUAACGAACCAAGUUACCCUAGGGAUAACAGCACAAUCCACUUUGAGAGCCCGUAUCGACAAGUGGGCUUAUGACCUCGAUGUUGGAUCGGGAUAUCCUAGUGGUGCAACCGCUACUAAAGGUUCGUUUGUUCAACGAUUAAAACCCC
rnacentral:rRNA from 1 species